rnacentral:rRNA from 1 species
UACGUAGGGUGCGAGCGUUGUCCGGAAUUACUGGGCGUAAAGAGCUCGUAGGUGGUUUGUCGCGUUGUUCGUGAAAACUCACAACUCAAUUGUGGGCGUGCGGGCGAUACGGGGCAGACUGGAGUACUGCAGGGGAGACUGGAAUUCCUGGUGUAGCGGUGGAAUGCGCAGAUAUCAGGAGGAACACCGGUGGCGAAGGCGGGGUCUCUGGGCAGUAACUGACGCUGAGGAGCGAAAGCGUGGGGAGCGAACAGGA